CCUACGGGUGGCAGCAGUGGGGAAUAUUGCACAAUGGGGGGAACCCUGAUGCAGCGACGCCGCGUGAGUGAAGAAGUAUUUCGGUACGUAAAGCUCUAUCAGCAGGGAAGAAAAAAGGACGGUACCGGAGUAAGAAGCCCCGGCUAACUACGGGCCAGCAGCCGCGGUAAUACGUAGGGGGCAAGCGGUCUCCGGAAUUACUGGGUGGAAAGGGAGCGUAGACGGCAAUGCAAGUCCGGAUGGGACUGCGGCCUCUCACCUGCCGAACUGCUCGGGCAACUGUAGGGCUUGAGUGCAGGAGGGGUAAGCGGAAUUCCUGGUGUAGCGGUGAACUGCGUCGAUAUCAGGAGGACCACCGGUGGCGAAGGCGGCUUACUGGACUGUAACUGACGUUGCGGCUCG
rnacentral:rRNA from 1 species